AGAAGAGAAAUGUUAGCUGGCAAAGGAAAAGGUCAGCAUCUGAGUGUCGUAUUUUCUACAUCACAGGUGCAGACUGUUAGACUAUGUCCAAUCAGAGUCAGUUCUUGGUGUGGAGCCACCUCAGGGACAGCUUUUUCAAUUAGCUUGGAUCAUUUGACACAAUGCAAUGCGAAAAUGAACCACAAGAGCUUGAAAAGUAAUAAAUAUUCAAACUGAGUCUGCUGGACUCUCCGGUGUGAAAACACACUUACUAGCUUGCUUUGUGGAAGCUACUGAAGUCCAGAGGACAGGCAGCAGAGACGGAUGAAAGUACAGAACAUAGGAAACUUUCCCCAAACAGACCAACUACAUGGAAGAUGAAAGCGAGCGCUGCCACUGGCUGUGAACUCCCCUGGACAUGAACAUACUACUGCUUUGGAUUUAGGUUCAUCAUCUGUAAGGAUUACAACACUGAGUUUUAUCUGCUGCAUUUCAGUUCCUACCGUCAAUCUUGCCCCAGGCUAUGCUGACGACACCUCGACUCCUGAGAAAAAAACACUAAAGAUUUUACAAAAACCGCCUUUACGCAGAUCCAAAGAUGGAUUCAGGUGAAGCAACACUCCUUAAAGUUAGGUACGUACUCUCAGUAUGAAGAAUGAAUAUUUCUGUGGCACUGAGUUUUGAAACCAUCUUUUUCACUUUUAUUGUGGACCUAAUCAUUGUCAUUUUACAAUGAUUUUACAAAAGUUUUGGACUUUUGAC